rnacentral:rRNA from 1 species
CAGCCGCCGCGGUAAUACGAAGGGGCAAGCGUUAAUCGGAAUUACUGGGCGUAAAGGGUGCGUAGGCGGUUGUUUAAGUCUGCUGUGAAAUCCCCGGGCUCAACCUGGGAAUGGCAAUGGAAACUGGACGGCUAGAGUGUGUCAGAGGAUGGUGGAAUUCCCGGUGUAGCGGUGAAAUGCGUAGAGAUCGGGAGGAACAUCAGUGGCGAAGGCGGCCAUCUGGGACAACACUGACGCUGAAGCACGAAAGCGUGGGGAGCAAACAGGAUUAGAUACCCGCGUAGUCCCUGUCUCUUAUACA